CAACAACUGCUCCACUGGCUGUAGAUGUGCCUGAAACCUCUUAUUCCAGCAGCGAAGAUGAGGAGGAUUUCUAUGAUGCAAACGAUGAUCCCUUCACCAGUAUGGGAAACUCGCCGAGCUACGCCACGCGUGGCUUUUCAGUGGAAACAUCAUCGCCAACAUAUGAGAAUGCAGCGGACACACUACCGUCAAAAGGUGGCGGCGCCUCAUUGGAUGCCAGCGCCAAAUCAUCCAUUGUUGAUCGACAGGAUGAUUAUCAGAAUGCGUUGACAGCGGUUUCGGAGAGUUUGAAUGCCGGUUCGCCGACAAGUGCAACAGGAUCAGCAGCAGCGCCACGACUAAGUAUCGAUAAAACAUUCCAGAAAUAUGGUGAGGAUGAUGCCAUCGAUUAUGAUGCACUCUACGAGGAGGAAGAAGACUCGACAAUUAGUAUGGAGGCGCAUGGUUCAAUGAUUUCCCAUCUAAUAUCACAAGUCAAAAUCGGCAUGGACUUGACGAAAGUCGUAUUGCCGACAUUUAUAUUGGAACGACGCUCUUUGCUGGAGAUGUAUGCAGAUUACUUUGCGCAUCCAGAUCUUUUUCUAAGAAUUGCUGAGAUGGAAACACCACGUGAGCGUAUUGUAGAAACUUGUCGUUGGUAUCUGAGUGCCUAUCAUGCCGGACGUAAGAGCGCUGUUGCCAAAAAACCUUAUAAUCCCAUAUUGGGUGAGGUAUUCCAGUGCUAUUGGGAUUUGCCAGACGAAACACCCGACGAAAAUGUAGUCAAUGAUGGCCCAGUGCCAUGGUGUCAUCGAAAUCAACUGACAUUCUUGGCCGAACAGGUUUCGCAUCAUCCGCCAAUUUCCGCCUUCUAUGCUGAGCAUGUCAAUAAGAAAAUUACAUUUUCCGCGCAUGUUUGGACUAAAUCAAAAUUCUUAGGUCUCUCAAUUGGUGUGCACAAUAUCGGUGAAGGUAUUGUCACACUUGUGGAACAUAGUGAGGAAUAUAUUGUUACAUUUCCAAAUGGCUAUGGCAGAUCUAUUUUAACCGUCCCUUGGAUCGAAUUGGGUGGCACUGUGGAGAUACGUUGCCCGCAGACUGGUUAUCAUGCCACAAUUGAGUUUUUAACAAAACCAUUUUAUGGCGGCAAGCGCAACAAAGUGACGGCAGAGAUUUAUGCGCCAAAUGAAAAGAAACCAUUUGUCUCGAUAGCUGGCGAGUGGAGCGGUCUGAUGGAAGCCAAAUGGCAUGAUAAAAAUAAAACUGAAGUAUUCGUAGACGUAAAUCGUAUACCAAUAUUUAAGAAACAAGUUCGACCAAUCGUUGAACAAGAAGAAUAUGAAUCCAGACGCGUUUGGAAGGAAGUGACAGCGGGACUCAAAUUUAACGAUAUCGAAAAGGCCACAAAUGCAAAAUGUGCUGUUGAGCAAAUACAGCGGGACCAAGCGAAGAAUCGUAAAGAAAAUGAAACACAGUGGGAGCAUAAGUAUUUCCGGCCCGUCGGCGAAAACUGGAUCUACACCAAGCCACUUAGUCAGCGUGUUUAUCAGCAAGAGAAGGAGAGCAAAAGAUAAUAAAGAAAUAUCGACAACCAACCACAAAGCACCGAAACUCCGGCGACAAGUUAAAAUAAGGUGGAGGAAGAAGAAGAAUGAGAUUACAACUAAACUAUUGAACUGGUAUAAACGUAAAAGUAGCAAUAUACCGUUUCGUGAAGAUGAGUCAAGCAAAUAGACACACAAGCAUACUUUCAUAUCAAAAGCAGCAAAAGAAGCCUUUGAGCACUAUUGUCAAGCUUGUUGCAAAACAAAAAAAAAAUCUUUAAAAUUAUAAUGCCAACACUUUCGAAUGCAACACAAUGCAACGCGAAUGUCACAAAUGGACAACGAAUAAAAAGGGAAACACCAUUAAAGGGAGCAAAGUGAACGAAAUGAACGUUGCUCUAAGACACUGAAAACUAUUUUUGAAUCACCUUUGUACUGCACUCUACACAAAUGUGCCGUUUUUUGCUACAAACAACAAUAACUCUUCUCAUUUUGCACAAUAAGAAGCACUUAACUCGUUUAUUUGUAAACUAUAAUUUAUGAUUUACUCUGAAACUCCUCUGUUUAAGCGCCGGAGAUUUAUUGUAAUUAUUAAAUAUGAAUUCUUACCGCAAGUUAAACUUACAAGCAUACAUAAAUAUAUAUGCCUAAAUAGUGUACUAUGAUUAUUUCAAAUACCAGUAUGAACAUGCGCAUGCGUACGCAUGUAUUAGGUAAACAAUUUAUAAUUAAAAAAAAAAAA
rnacentral:misc_RNA from 1 species